rnacentral:ribozyme from 15 species
GAAAAACACAUCCUUUUUUUAAUUUUUUUUUUUUCCUUUUCAUUUUUUUCGUGAGGGACACCGAAAAAAAAAAAAAAA